rnacentral:siRNA from 1 species
GAACAUAAUGUGGUCAUGAGGUUC